GACGAGUCUCACGAACGUUAUUCGGAAUUACUGGGCUUAAAGGGUGCGUAGGCGGUGGAGUAAGUCGGAUGUGAAAUACCUUAGCUUAACUAAGGGAACUGCACUCGAUACUACUUUGCUAGAGUAAGACAGAGGUGAGUGGAACUGAGGGUGGAGCGGUGAAAUGCGUUGAUAUCCUCAGGAACACCGGUGGCGAAGGCGACUCACUGGGUCUUUACUGACGCUGAUGCACGAAAGCUAGGGUAGCAAACGGG
rnacentral:rRNA from 1 species